AGCUUCAAAGGGAUUUGAAGGGUGGUGACAGGCUCCAGCCCAGACUGCGCCUCGGAAUGCAGACGCUUCUCUGCCUAGAACCUGGCCCGGCCCUAUGGGAAAGCCCCGGUUCUCGGCGGCACUGAACUGCUUUCCAGUUUUCCACGGAGGCCCCAAGGAACGCCUGAGGCUGGAAUUCCCCAGGAGACAGGGAGCUGUAACAAUAGAGGUGGUUCAUAUUCUAAAGAGAGCAGGCACUGAGCAAACGUUUGUUGAACUGAACCAAUCUGCUAGUUAUGGGGACAUGACCUCCACUUCAUGGUGUUGAACUAAACAAACACAUACUUCUCCAGACAAAUAUUAAAACUGGUGAACUUCAAAAUAACGUGAAAAGCUCCUAUGUUUCCAUGCCUCAUUAUAUGCCACAAAAAAUCAAAUGAUAACUUUGCCAGUGUGUGGUUUGGGAGUUCUGCGAAGUGUUUGCAGUCGCUACUAAUAAUCCAGGUGACACGGCAAACAUUGCAGUUCCCUAGAUCCAGCACAAAUAGAGGAGGGUUCACUCGUAGGCAGCAUCUGAGCAACAGGCUCACCAGACUUCAGCCUCUUCACUCUGACUCUUCCAAACUCCAGCUCUCUUCAUUAAGAUAUUCUGGAAGCAACUGAGGAGUUUCUACAAACAUUUUGGAAAUUACAGAGCAGGUCAAGUGGAAGUUUGUUUUCAUUUCAGUUAAGGUACGAGUUGUUCUGACUGCCGUGCAGACAUUCACACGCCCGCUGCUAGAAAGCUGGAGCUGGAAGGAGCAUCGGGGCCCGCUGAGUCCUCCUUUCUCAUGUAUGGAUGCGGAUGUGGAGGCAGGCCCUAAGUCUUAGUGUAGGUGCCGAUGGUGCAGGUGGUUGACUCACUUAAAGAAGAAUUUGAAUCAUUAUCUAACAGAAAAAAGAUCAAUAACAAGCAUUAUUGCUGGAACAUUCUAUGGAUAGACUGCUUUCUAUACAUGAUUGGUGAACAUUGUAUUUCAAUUAAUUAUAUAUCCUGAUAAUAUAUGAAUUAAUACUGUGAUAUCAUGCAUACAAUAACAAUACUCAAUGGAAAUAUAGUAAAACAGAAAUGAAAAUAA
rnacentral:lncRNA from 1 species